CGCGUAGGUGGUAGUGUAAGUCUGGGGUGGAAUGCCGGGGCUUAACCCUGGAAUUGCCUUGGAAACUGCAUUACUUGAGUCAGUGAGGGGAGGGUAGAAUUCCUGGUGUAGCGGUGAAAUGCGUAGAUAUCAGGAGGAAGGCCUGUGGCGAAGGCGGCCCUCUGGUGCUGGACUGACACUGAGGCGCGAAAGCGUGGGGAGCAAACAGGAUUAGAUACCCUGGUAGUCCACGCCCUAAACGGUGGGCACUAGGUGUAGGGCUCGGUAAGGGUUCUGUGCCGAAGGGAAACCAUUAAGUGCCCCGCCUGGGGAGUACGGCCGCAAGGUUGAA
rnacentral:rRNA from 1 species